UACAGAGGGGGCAAGCGUUGUUCGGAAUUACUGGGCGUAAAGGGCGCGUAGGUGGCCUUCUAAGUUGAACGUGAAAUCCCUGGGCUCAACCCAGGAACUGCGUCCAAGACUGGGAGGCUUGAAUCCGGGAGAGGGAUGCGGAAUUCCAGGUGUAGCGGUGAAAUGCGUAGAUAUCUGGAGGAACACCGGCGGCGAAGGCGGCAUCCUGGACCGGUAUUGACACUGAGGCGCGAAAGCCAGGGGAGCAAACGGG
rnacentral:rRNA from 1 species